rnacentral:rRNA from 1 species
CCUACGGGAGGCAGCAGUGGGGAAUAUUGCACAAUGGGGGAAACCCUGAUGCAGCGACGCCGCGUGAGCGAUGACGUCUUUCGGUAUGUAAAGCUCUAUCAGCAGGGCAGUAAAUGACGGUACCUGACUAAUUAGCCCCGGCUAACUACGUGACAGCAGACGCGGUAAUACGUAGGGGGCAAGCGUUAUCCGGAUUUACUGGGUGUACAGGGAGCGUAGACGGCUUGGCAAGCCAGAUGUGAAAGGCUGGGGCUCAACCCCAGGACUGCAAUUGGAACUGUCAUGCUAGAGUGUCGGAGAGGCAGGCGGAAUUCCUGGUGUAGCGGUGAAAUGCGUAGAUAUUAGGAGGAACACCAGUGGCGAAGGCGGCCUGCUGGACGAUGACUGACGUUGAGGCUCGAAAGCGUGGGGAGCAAACAGGAUUAGAUACCCCAGUAGUC